AUUAGAACUUUUUUGGUAAAAAUUGACUUGGCGUGUUUGGAGAAAGAACAAUGCUGAGUUACAUUCCAAGAACACCAUAUCUACUGUGAAGCAUGGGGGUGGAAACAUCAUGCUUUGGGGCUGUUUUUCUGCAAAGGGGACAGGACGACUGAUCCGUGUUGAGG